rnacentral:rRNA from 1 species
UACGUAGGUGGCAAGCGUUAUCCGGAAUUAUUGGGCGUAAAGAGCGCGCAGGUGGUUAAUUAAGUCUGAUGUGAAAGCCCACGGCUUAACCGUGGAGGGUCAUUGGAAACUGGUUGACUUGAGUGCAGAAGAGGGAAGUGGAAUUCCAUGUGUAGCGAUGAAAUGCGUAGAGAUAUGGAGGAACACCAGUGGCGAAGGCGGCUUCCUGGUCUGCAACUGACACUGAGGCGCGAAAGCGUGGGGAGCAAACAGG